AGGCGGGAAGUGCUCUAGCAGGGGAGUCUGACCUUGUGAGGGAAUACCUGUGUCCCCCCUUUUUUCCCCUUUUUACCCAAUAAAACCCUGCCUUACUCACCCUUUAAAUCAUCUGCGAGCCUGAAUUUUCAUGGCCGUGGGACGGACAAGAACUUUAUCUUCAGCUGAACUAAGAAAAAGUCCUGCAACAUUUUUGGCGCGCAAUGUGGGGGCACCAGAAGCGGGCACCGUUGAGCUGUUGCAACUGUUCUGCUGAUUUCUAUCAUGGAAAAUAUCCCUGCAAGCAGUAACCACUAUUUGAAUGGUGAAAUCAGCAGCACAGCAAACAUGGUUCUUAAUGAGGAGCCUUAUGUAUGUGGUUGAAACCACCUGUACUACUGGAAUGAAAGCACCUUUACAGAAGAGGCAAUGCAAGUUGUAUUCAUCACAUGUGUAGAAUGAAUUAAGAUUUAUGCCAGUUGCAAAGAAGAAUAUUGGCUCACUAUUUUUCCUCUGGGCAUCAGCAUAUGAUCCCCUGUUGAAGACAGACAAGUACAUCUUUCUGGUGGCUCCUAGACCUGGCAUUGGGAACAGAAGAUUAUCAGUAUGAUCCGUACGCUUAAGGAAAGAUCUCAUAUUAUUGAAAUGAAUAUUUUAUUUGAUAAAUUGAACUACAGAAUAAAGUACUUUUAACAAACCAUACUUUCUGCAGUGGUUCUUUCUUUCUCUUGUUUCUUUUCUUCUUUCCUUCCUCCCUAGCUGUUUCCCUCAUUCUCUUCUUUUUUUCCUUCUUUCUUUUCACUUCCUUUUUUUUUUUCUUGAUUAGAAUUCUAGAAUUUCUACUUAAUUCAAGAGAUUCCUACCAUCUGAAAUGCUUGGUUUCAAAGGGUGAGAAUAGUAACCCACACAUUUUUUUUCAAUACAAGGGAAAUAAUAGAAAGAUUUGUGCCUUACAUUUCUUCCCAUUCUUCCUACGACUAUAUGUUAUUCACAAAAGCACAUGGCACUUGAAUUCUAACAAAAUUGUAUUACUGUUAAAGUGAGCUUCUCAAAUGCACUCUGCAUGUAACACUCCAACAAUUCAUGAUGGAUUUGCUGCCUUAAAAAUAAAAUAAUCUUAAUAAUUUUUAAAACCAAUAAGCAGAAA
rnacentral:lncRNA from 1 species